ensembl:lncRNA
GGGCAAGAGGGGAGCAGAAGGGAAAAGUGAUCGAGGUUUUGCCUGCCGUCAACAGCCCUGAGCAGAGGCAGAUAGACAGCUGGGAAGAAGCCCCUGGAACAGAUGACCAGGGAAAAGCAUGUGGUUUCAGCCAGGACAUGGAGGAGACAGGCCGGCAUCCAUUUCUUAUCUGGACAAGAGCAGCAGACACCUAUGCGGCACUGCAGACAAAGAGGCAACAGGUGUGCUGAGCGUUCAGCCCUCUGGGCUGGUGGAGGCUGGAGCCUCUAGACCAGCCUCAAGAAGUCUCACCUGCUGAUCUCAGUGUGAAUUCAAAUGUCAUCAUUUGUUACAUUGCUUCCAUGUGGGAAGUGUAGGGAAGCACCCAUCUCUCGAUUGUACUCUUCUGUCCACAUGGCCCCAUACCCAGGCAAGGUGGCCAGGUUUAUCUCCACGGAGUCCAACUCGGUGCAGCUUGCCUUCAGAAUGGCCAUUAGGAUUCUACAAGAUGGGAAAGCUGCUGAAACCUACAAGGACAGGCAAGGAGAGCCAGUACAGGGGUCCUUCUUACAGCUUGGGUGCCGUGGAUUGAGGAGAUGUGCAAAGGAGAGCAGCCCCCGAGGGCCCCUGGGAAGCUCACUCCUCCUGCUCCUUCAUCUGGAAUGGUUGUUCUCACACUCCACAGUGUGCAAGCACCAACUGCUGCAAUUGUCAGCAAUGCAGAUUCCAGGGCCUUCUCCUGCCCCACCCACGUUUUAAGUCAAUGUGUUUGCAACCAGACCCAGCAGUCUGCAUUUUCAGGGAGCAUGCUGACUGUGGACAAAGAUCUUCCUUUGAGAAACAGUGCCCUGAUGAUCUCAGCUAACAGUAGAGUUCACCCAGUCUUCCUCAGAAGAUUGAACAAUGGCAUAUGGGCAGGAAUUUGCAGUAAAAAGCAGUGUCUCAGCCUAAAAUCUCGAAUCAAACACACCGCUUUGAAAAGACAGAAGAAAAAGGAAUCCUUAAAAAUAUGGAAAGUGGUUGAAAGGAAGACCAUCUGGGCAAACCAAAGUUACUCAUCCCCAAGAACAUUCUCGGAGAAAGGCAAAUUGCAUGGAAAAUACAAAAUGUAAUCCUAAAGGAAGCUUUGAAAUUCUGGAAAGAAUUUAUAACCUGUAACCUACGCAGCCCACUGGGCAGAGUACCACAGCAAACUGCUCUCUAAAGUGUGACGAGAUGGAAGGUAUAGCGAAGGCAGGGAGUGUGUGUGUGGCUGGUGAGUGCAACCUGUGUCCUUACUCACUGAGGUGACUCUGCUGGCUGUUGUGGCUUUUUCUGAUCCCCAGGUGGAGAAGGGGUCUGGAUCACGGGAAUGCCAUGAACUUAUCAGGUGUUAACAGGCAUAGCUAGAGACCAGAGAGCAACUGCAACCUGGACAAAAACUGGGGUCCUUCCUCUUUGCUGGAGAAAGACUAGGAGGGGGUAUUCUGAAAGAGGCAGCACCAUCUGGGUUAAUGGCACCCGACUUGGGCUGGCUCAACACCAGUGGGACGGGCGCCGGCUGACAGUUUCCCCAGAGGACGUGUGGGGUUUCUCAGCUUGCGUCUCCACGAGAUCUCACUGAACUGGCUCCACAACCAUGAUCCAGGAGAAGGUUGAGAAUCAGCAGGAGGAAGAGGUGAGAGAAGAAACCUGUUUUCAGCUCUGGUGGAGAUGCUACUUUUAACUGAGAUAUCUGUGGAGGAAAGAAACACAGAAGGCUCAAUGGGGUCCUUUUAGAGCUUUAGUGAACACUCACCCAAAGUGGAAAAAUGGCCAAGUGUUAAACAUCGAGCUGAAGCCAAAUAUUGCUAUUAUAGAUACCCUUCAGGAUAAUCAGAAAUAUAAGACUUUAAGUACGGAAUUUGUGCUACACUUUUGUUAGUAAAAUGUUUAAUGUUCAGAUUUCUAGUUGGACCGUAUAGAGGAGGGACAGCAAUGUCUUAGCACUGUCCACUGUGGAAUGGCUCCAGCCACCUCACUGUUACUCACACAGAUGGUAAGCACUCACUGUCACACAUUCUUCUGCCAGUACAAGCUGCUCAUAAUGGUGAUGUCACCGAGCUAUCUUGAACUGUAACUGACUUUAGACAACUCCUCUUGGACUCCUGUAAGUCUUUCAGGACUUCUUGAAAGACUCAUGUCACGUGUUAAAUAACUAAAAAUUAAAUGUGGCUCAUAUGGUUUAAUUUGUUUAUUUUUAUGAGUGCUUAUUAUACCAAAGAAUUCUAUCAGGAUUAGAUUUAUAAUCUAGUCUGUCUUGUUCUGCCCUGUGGUAUCCAGGUAAUUGUUACUAACAGCACUACAGGUGGCCACAAUCAGAUCCAGCAUUCAAGGUACCUCCCCCAUGUGAAGCCUCAGGGUGGGGCCUUGGGUAAAGCCCUGGGCUCAGAGUUCAGUGAGUUCUUGGUGCACAGAGCUCCAAGAACCACUCCAGCACGCUGCCUGCCACGGAGCAGGGUUUCAGCAAGUAUUUGCUGGAUGAGUGAGAGGCUAAGUGGAUGAAUAAAGAUCUAAGUCAGAGUCAAGCUAGGAAUAGUCUGCACCUCAAGGCUCUACCAGCACUAGGAAAGGGUCUACCUAGAGACUGCAGAAGAGAUGAGCCUACAUGAAGAUAUUCAAGGAGACCCAGGGAAGGUGUCUAAGAGGCUGUGAAAGCAUGAAGUCACACGGGCCAUGGCUGUCAGCAGAGGAGCUUCUAGAGGCCACCGGCAUUCCUGGACUUGUGGCCUCUUCCAUCUCCAAAGCCAAUAAGGACUGAUCCAGUAUUUCUCACACCUCGUCACUCUGACCUUCUCUCCUGCUCCUCUUUCACUUUUAAAAAUAUAUAUGUAUGUUUGACUGCACUGGGUCUUAGUUGUGAAACGUGGGCUCUUUGUUGCUGCAUGUAGACUCUCUAAUUGUGGCAUGCAGGAUCUAGUUCCCUGACCAGGAAUUGAACCUGCGGCCCCC